rnacentral:rRNA from 1 species
GAAUCCCGUAUGUGGCACGGACUCCCGUUACUCUGUGAUACACUCUCAACGAGUCGAGUUGUUUGGGAAUGCAGCUCCAAAUGGGUGGUAAAUGCCAUCUAAAGCUAAAUAUUGGCGAGAGACCGAUAGCAAACAAGUACCGUGAGGGAAAGAUGAAAAGCACUUUGGAAAGAGAGUGAAACAGUACGUGAAAUUGUUGAAAGGGAAACGCUUGAAGUCAGUCGUGCCCUUUGGGAUUCAGCCUUGCUUCUGCUUGGUUUACUUCUCUUUGGGUGGGUCAACAUCAGUUUGGGUCGGAGGAGAAAGACUUGGGGAAGGUGGCAGCAUUCGUGCUGUGUUAUAGCCCCUUGUUGUAUACUUCGAUUUGGACUGAGGACCGCAGCACGCCUUUGGCCGGGGCUCGCCCACGUACGUGCUUAGGAUGUUGGCAUAAUGGCUUUAAGCGACCCGUCUUGAAACACGGACCAAGGAGUCUAACAUGUGCGCGAGUGUUUGAGUGUUAAACUCAGACGCGAAAUGAAAGUGAAAGGUUGGGAACACUUAUGUGUGCACCGACGCCCGGAGCUGACCUUCUGUGACGCAUCUGCGGUAGAGCGUAUAUGUUGGGACCCGAAAGAUGGUGAACUAUGCCUGAAUAGGGUGAAGCCAGAGGAAACUCUGGUGGAGGCUCGUAGCGAUUCUGACGUGCAAAUCGAUCGUCAAAUUUGGGUAUAGGGGCGAAAGACUAAUCGAACCAUCUAGUAGCUGGUUCCUGCC